UGUAGAGAAGCGUGGGCUUGAUGCAACGUGUUUGUUAUGUCAUGAGGCAUAUAAAUAUCGGAAGCGGUCGUCAGAGCUGGUCUUUAUGCUUCGUGUGUCGAGGCAGGUUGACCAGUGGUCUGUUAAUGAUCUAUCAUGGAAUUACGAGCAGCUUUUGUCAACGCUUCAGUAUCCACUCAUGGGAUACGUUCCAACUUCAUAAUGCAGCCACUGAGGGUGAGAAUUUGUUUACAUAAUACAUUUUUAGUUUUCUACUAAACUUGUCAGAAUCUUGCCUUUGUGAGGAAUAUGACAUUAAAGUAGCUUGUUUCUAAUGUUAAUGAAAUUAAUUAUAUUUUUGACACCUCAGUAAAAUUUUUGGUGGAGUUAAAAUCAUUAAUACAGAAGGCAUUUAGUGAAGUGUCAUUCUGUGCUGGAACAAAAAUGAAAAUUUUACACUGGAAAAUGUGAUCACAAAGAAUGAAGACACCAAUAAUUUAAGUGUGACUAUUAUGAAUGAAUGAACAUUUGUUGACUGUAAAGGGUGUCAAAAUACUGUCCAAUAGAAGAAAGUUCCUCUAUAGUCUGAUUAAAACUUGUCAUUUGGCAUUGCCAUAUUGUUUUCUAAAUCUUACCUUGGCAAAGGUGCAAGCAACAUAAAAUAAGCUCUAAACACAUACAGAACUUCUUUAUGCUUGCUGCAACUUGAGCCUGUUAAAUAAGAUGGGCAACACAGAUUGCACAAGUACAUCACACUACUUGAAGUGCAGCUGAGCUGAUGAUUUUGACACAUUGAUACUUAUGUUUUUGGCAGUUUGGCACCUGCCACUUUGAUGUUGAAAGCUCUAGUUGGAGGACCAAAGUUCAAAAUGUCAAGUGUUGACUAAAAAGAAAUUAUAAUCAGGCUGUAGACAUGACCUUUCUAUUGACUUUUCAAAUGUGAAAUUAAUAGGAUUAAGCUAUAGGACCAGAAAGUGAAUGUGUUCACUCGAGAAUGAAAAAAAUGUAAAUGUUGUGUAUAGAACUUGGAUGGAGAAAGCAUGUUUUUGUCUGGUCACAAGAAGUAAAAAGCCAUUUAUAAACUUCAGAACAUGGCAGCUGUAAUUUUUAUCGUGUUUUCAUUGUGGCAGAGCUGGUGAUGAAUCCAGAAAAAAAAUCUGAAUAUUUAAUGUAGUUUGUAUGCUGGUUGUUGAAGAUUAACAGCUAAAACUUCAUACUUUACUAAAAGGAAAAUAGUAAUACUUGAAUAUUUGCUAGAUAAAAAGCGAACAUUAUAUGAUCAGAGAAUAGUAGUAGUAGGAAUAAUGUUAGUCUUGCAGCUUAAAGAAGCAAAUCAAGAAAUUUGGUCUACAUUAGUCCAAUAUUAAUCUUUAUCAGUGGUUUAAUUUAUUGUACCUGACUUUUUUCUGCUGUAGACCUAGAAGGUUCAGUUGAUAACUGUAUUUCAGUGAGUUUGUUAGUUUACCAGUUUUUAUAUGAUCUUAAAAAAAGGUGAUCGUAGUGAAAUAAUUAAAUUUUUUGAAGAUUUGAGAUGUAUAAACCAUCCAAAUAUUAAAUGGCUUAUUUUCAUGAAAGUAAGCAGUUAGUGCUACUUUCUGUACAGUGUUUGAGAAGUGGUGGCCAGGGAUAUAACAGGGAUGAUAAUUCAAAACAAAAAGCCAGGUAAACAUGGGUUCUAAAAUGCAUACCUUGAGAGGAUCAAUUCUUUCUUAGAUACUGUGAAACAAGCCUCUUGUACUGGAGGCACUUUGCUUUCCAUAUUUUGGAAAGAGGCAGUAUGGACCAAAACGAGAAAAACGUCCAGUAAACCUGUGCUCUAAAAUGAAGUUCUAACCACUUCUUAAUUAGAAGAGUUGUUUCAAAGUAGGAAGAUGAACAAGAGCGCAUGUUUCCAGAAUGAGAUUUUCACACUGCAGCGUAGUAUGCUGAUAUGAAACUUCCUGGCAGAUUAAAACUGCGUGCCAGACUGAGACUCAAACUCGGGACCUUUGCCUUUUGCAGGAAAGUGCUCUACCAACUGAGCUACCCAAGCAAGACUUGUGACCUGCCUUCAGUGUCAAUCCUGCCAGUACCUCAUCUCCUACUACCUUACAAACUUCACAGCUUGGUCUGACUCAGUUUUAAUCUGCCGGGAAGAUUUUUAGAGAAUGUGUUUUUGUUUUGAAUGAUCAUUCCUGUCAUAUCCCUGAAUAUUGACCAUCAUUUCUGAAACACCCUGUAAAAUUCCCAGGUGACACUUGUCAUAGCAUGGGGACCAGUUCUUUUUGGAUAUCAGUCUAGAAAUUGACAUGCAUUGGUCAGCUAGUGUAUUUUUCUUUAUUCUUAUAAAGCAGUUUUCCUAUGAACUGCUACUUACACUUGGUACCAGUUUAAAUUAUUUUGAAGAGUUGCUCACUUCCUGACUUGAAUAUCAUAGCAAGAGUAAAUAAACACAUUCCACAUCCCUGAAUGUUCUGAUUCAUAAUGGCAUCCUGUCUUCCUGCCAUAAUGUAUGUGUGAAACCCUGGUCUGAUGUAAGAGGGUGCCUGAUAGCCCUAAUCAGAUUAAACAUCAAAUUGUGUAGUUAAUAUCUUUAUUUUUGUUUAGGGUGUUCAGGGAGCAAAACAAUGUGCCAGUUUCACAGCCAACAACCAUAUGCCUAUUCACAUUUUAUCAACACACAAUGCUAUUCAUACACAGCAAGAAACUGAUGGUAAAUAAUAAUUCUUUUUUGAAAAAGAAAAAGGUAAAAGGGGAAGAAAACGGACUAAUGUGCUUAAUGCCAGCCUCAAUGACAUGUAGUGAAUUUUCAGUUUGUAAGAACUAUGAAAGACAUGAGAACUAAUAGUUCUGGAAAAGUUACUAGCUAAAACAAACAUGCACAGUACAUUGUUCACGUUGCUGGAUCAUCUGGACACAGCAAACAUGAUCUAUCAUGCUUAGGAAUGUAUAAUUUAUAGACUCUUCACUAAAAAAUCAAAUUUGGCAUUCUGCUGUUUGAUCAGUUCUAUGUUGUGCAUUUAGAUUUUAAGUGAACCUGGUUUCAAAACUACAUUGUAAUACUGUGUAUAAUAGCAGUCUAAGCUCUGGGUGGAAGGGGGAAAUCUCUGUAUACAGCUUGGGUUGUCUACUGGAUAAGGAGUUUUUGAACAAAAAGUUGGAAGUAUAUAUUGGCACAGGAUAUUCUAAAAAACCUAUAUGGGCCCAACUUGGAUACCUUUGGAUGUACACCUUGGAAGUAGUACUGUGGAGAAACCUUUCACAUAUGUGAUGUGGAGAUGUGUUAAGAAUCUUCUACAUUAGUGUAAGGUUCAAAUCUAUUAAAGAAAACAAAUGAGUAAAAUGUUUUUGAGUUAAAUUGUGGAGUUAUGCAAUAACUAUGAUAGUAUUGCACUUGGCCCCAUGUGGCUAUUACAGAAAACACACUGUGAUAUUACAGUAAAAUCAAAUGGUGACUAAGGAAAACAUAUUGCACUGUGGAAGAUUUAGACGUGUGUGUGUGUGUGUGUGUGUGUGUGUGUGUGUGUGUGUGUGUGUGUGUGUGUGUGUGUGUGUACACUAUAGUACCUUUACUUCCAGGUGCAAUUUUGUGGUAGACUAAUAGAACUGUGGGCUAGGGAACAUCAUUUAGAAACACAAACCCGACAACAAUCAAGGCCUACAUCCAGUAAUCUCAAAAGUAUCACUAUUCUGGGAUAAAUGUCUACCGGCAACACAUUGACAGGCACUUCUGUUUGAUUAUAUUAUUUGCACACGGUCACUUUUGAAAUGUGACUAAACAUGUCAUCUAAAUAAAUGUUUGUGUAAUUUGUGAUAUUAUGGUGUAUUAUGCUUUCUGUAACUGCCCUAUUCUUAACACCUUAUUUAUUUCAGCAUCAAUUAAAGAAAAUGCGUGGAAUAUGUAUAAGGCCAAUUAGUAAUAUCAGAGGUCUGUGUAGCAGAAUCAUUUGACUGUCAUCAUCUGCUGUAAAAGUUCUAAAAUAUAGUUCCUUAUUUCAUCAUUCAAAGUAUCUCUAAAUGGCUGCCUAACAGUGUCUUGGUAUCUUGGGAAGACAUUGGGCUUGUUUGAGUUGGGUUCAAAUCUGCAUACAGUAAUUUAUUUCCUAUGGUUUUUCUAAGGUAAAUGAUGUGAUAGUUAAUUUUAAUAGAACGAUCAGUCUGUCACCACUACCAAGAUUUCAAGGGAUCGCCAGUAACGGGUGAGGGUGGGGGAGGCACUUUAAGUGUUUUCAUUUAAGGUACAGAUAACUCACCACAGGUCGCACGUUAUUUGGUUUAUGACCAGUGAAACUCUUCAGACACGAGAACCUAUGUUAAAUCCCAGUACUAGGAUGAAAAAUACUAAGAUUUCAUGUUUCACUUUGAGACUUUCUGGCACAUUAAAACUGUGUACUGGACUGGGACCUGCUGUUGUUUUUCUAUUUGUCAUUAAAUUAAUAUUGAUUGUUGGCCAUCACCCUUCUCAGUGCAUUUCUGCACUUGGUUUACAUGCUUGCAUUGCAAGCUACUGAUGUGCACUACUAUGAACUGGAAUGUGGCUAUACAUAGUGAAAAGUCCCAUUACAGCUGAGACCUAGUUGGCUUUGUUGAAUAAUAUAUAGUCAGUGAAAUGAGAGUAGUAAUGAUAGGGGUUUCAUAAUUAUGCUGGAAUGUAUGAACAUGCCACUGUUCAAACUAAUGGCUAGUGGUUCUUAUGCAGUCUGUGGCUAGAGUGGCCAGCGUUUGCCCCAGUGAACCCAGGUUUCAUGCAUGUUCUAUUUGAAGUGUCUUGCAGGGCCCACUUAGUCUGAAAUGGACAAUUUAGAAAGGGCCUGAAAAAGCAUAACAUAUUUAAAGAAUAAUGUAGCAAUGCAGUACUACUGCUGCAAUGGAGGUAAAAAAGUUAAAUAAAAUUAGUGUCGUUAUGGUGUGACAUCAGAUUUUUGUAUGCUUAACUUUUUGCUUUCAUGUUGGUUACUUAAUGAAAUUUAAUCCUACAAUGUAGGCUUUCACAGCCAGGGUUUACUUCAGUUAACUCUUGGGCUGAGGUGCUAUGGUAAAUAUGUAAAGCUAUUCCCAAUAUUUCAUCUCUGGCUCUAAGAAACAUCUCUGGUGGUAAAAUGGCACAGUUAGCUGGAAGUGAAAUGUCACAAUAGUUUAGACCAUGGCCUCUCAGCUUAAAAGUUUUAACUGUAGUAAAUGAAUUUUGGUUAACUUUCUCAUUACUGAGAUAGUCAUCCUAGCUUGCUUUAAGGUGGCACCAGCAUAGUAAAAUGUGCAUCUGUUUAUGUGAAAGAGGCCAUUGCAAUAAGUUUGAGCAGCAAGUUAAGAAGUUUCAUUUUGUGUUACUGGUCUGAGUUUUCGACAUGAACUUUAAUGAGUAACAUGUAAAGGGUCCAUGCCAUUGCAAUGGUUUUAAAAUGCCUAAGAGUGAACAUGUAAAAUUGUCUUCAGGAAAGUGAUAUUACUGGUAAAUUCUGAGUAGUACAUUAUUUGAAUUUAUGCAGAUACUUAAACAACAUUGUUAUAAAAAUUAUUUUGGGUGUUGUUCCUCUGGUGUAAUGUACUAACAAUUUCAAUGAUUUGUAAUUGAAGAGCUGAUUGCAAUGUAUUAUGCACUGUGUGUGUGUGUGUGUGUGUGUGUGUGUGUGUGUGUGUGUGUGUGUGUUGAAAUGUAUAUUCAGAUAUUUUCUGUGCAGAAGUUGUAGUGAGAGAGUUAUCCUUUAUAAGGAAUGUUUAACUGUGUUCCAGUAUUUGUGGUGUUUGUCCAGGAAGUUGACUGGAAAUUUAAUCCUGAAAAUAGAUUUAAGGUAUUUUUCUUGUUACUGUCACAUUAAAGUAAGUUAAUUUUGUGAUGUGACCAGGUAUCCAGUGCAGUAUUUGUGGAGCAUAAUUUUGUAGUAAACAUUCCAUUGGUUCGCAUGCUUCCUAGUUACUAAAAGUUUGGCACAAUGUAUCUGAAUGUGUUAAAAUAAACUGAAAUGUUAGGUUCUCUCUAAGUUAGUGGAUUUGGCUCUUUAUUUUAACACAAAGUUGUUGGAGUUGGUGCGUAACUCUUUAAACAUGUGAAAACUUACCCUUGGUCUGUAAAUUUCAGUAUUCAUCUUACAAUUACAAAAAAAAUGUGAUGGAAUUUCAUAGUAAAGCAUGACUUUGGCAGAUUUAUGUAAUAUAGAAUGUCCUGUAACAUUGAUGCCAGUAUUCAGGUUCCAGUGAGUACAAAUGAACUUAGCUGUCUGUAAAUGAAACACAGCUUAACAUUUCUUAUUUUGUAAAUUCUAGUUUACAAAAAUGUAUAUUUAAAAAACUCAUGGUGAAAACUUCAGUACAAGCAAGAUGACAGUGAAUUAAAAUUUAGAGCAUUGUUGAGCCUAUAGAAUUUAUCUGGUUACCUUCCAACUUAUAUUGGAGAUGGUUAUUUGUAUUACAUUUUGUAAUUUUUCCUAUCAUUGUAUAGUUUUAUUUACUGUAAGCUAGAGGCCACAACCUCUUCACAAUUGGUAAAUAUUUUAUGGUGCUGUACUGAACAUAAAAGCCAGCAUUUUUAUAGACAGUGUUGCACAGCUUCAGUGUGUUCAAAGAAAACUGCAAGAGCUGUUAUAAUAUUAGUCAAGCAAAAUUUUCGUCACAGAUUUUGAUUUUUUAAUCAGUGACAUGACGGCUGCUUGUCUGAAAAUAGUUCUCUAAAUAUUCAUUAGGACAACUUUUAGUGCUUUAACUUAGUUCCUUAAACAUGGAUUGUGUGCACAUCUUCAAACAAAAUAGUUUUGGUUACUUAUUUUGAUCCAUUGGCUAAGUGUUAUGCAAAAAAUAUUGUCUAGAGUGUGAAAGAGCUGUUCAGAGGUUAAAAUAGUGCAUUUUUAACAUUUUACAGUUGAUGAUGCUCAGAAUUAUCUACUGAAAUUACUGACUGGCUUAAAUGUUAUGCAUAUUGUAAAGGUUGUGGUCAUAAAUUUUCAACCUAAUUUGUUGGAAACUGAAAUGGUGCCUGCACCCUAUUUGUCUGCCCUUGAUAUUUUUAAUGAAUAUGUACAUUUUUUGAAUCAUGUUGUGUGAUUUUUAAAUUGUGUAAUAAACUAAUUGAUCAUU